GUGCAGGCCCCGCCCCGCGCAUGCGCUCUGGGCCUCGCGCGCCUGUGCAGGCCCCGCCCCGUCCUCGGCCUUAAAUCACGGCGGAAGCGCUCCCUGCCCUCUCCACGUGGGAAUGCUGCUCCUGGGAUGCGGCUGGACCUUCUCUCGGAGCGCUGCGCGAACCCAGCCCGGGGGCUGCUCCCGGUGCUGCACGGAGCCCCGAAGUGCUCAGAUCGCAGGAUAUGCUAAAGAUAUACUGGAGUUGAGAGGAAUCCUAAAUCUGAGUCUCAAGUCCGUAGGUUUCCUGCAGUCCUUCCUGCAUGCCGAUGAAGGCUUUGUCUGCUCCGAAUUGACGUGUAAUGAAGUGCUGUCUUCUCGCUAAUGGGAGCCAUCGGAGGUGAUGGGUCCUUUGGCAGGUGGGGUGAAGUUUUGUGUGGAUGAAAGUGGGAGUUUUUCAGGGAGCCAGCUGGAAGUGCAGAAGGGAUGGAAAGGUUUUGCAGGAAGUCCCUUGGCAGAACGUGAAGUAGCAGCCCCCAGUAGCUGUGUGUCAUUUGCUGGUGCAGAUGCUCCAGUAACCACUCCAGUGACAGAAAAUACAGACUCACCAGUCUGGGACUUCAGCAGCAAGCAAGAUUAUCCAAAGGGCUUCUCCUGGAUCCACAGCAAACCUUAGUCUUCAAAGUGUGGCAUAAAGCAGGUGAAGGUCAGCUUUCCAGCAUGUCCCAGUAAUUCUGCAAACUUGUCCAAGCAGAUGUUGAAUUCCUUGUCAGAGGAAGUCAGUGUUCCCGCUCUGGAGUGAUAAGCCCACAGGCUGACAACCUUUCUGAUUAUUCUCAGAAAAAACUUGAGCUGGGUGAGGUUCAAAGAUACUUCAGUGAGAAGCUGACCAGGUCUUUCCCUGACUUCAGCACAUCGAGACCAAGCCAUGAGGAGUGUGAGAGUGACCCUCAGGGCUUGAUGAGCAGAGAAGUGGAUCCCAAAGGCUGCCAUCUUCUGGAAAAAUCCAGUCAGUUGGUGUCUCAGAGCACUGAACCCAUCAAGAGAAGUGUAGAGAUCCAUGCAGGCUCUGAAGAGCUGCUGCCAUUCCCAGGAGACAGGGGUUUGACCAGUGGAAAAACCACUGAGAGAGAGGAGGAGGAAAAUGCUGAGGUUGUAAAUGGAGAUCA